rnacentral:rRNA from 1 species
AAGGUAUUGUAAUAAGAUUUUAAUUGAAUGCUAAAAGAAUGGAAAUUUAAAAAAAAACUUUUUUAAAAAUAAAAAUUGAAUUUUUUUUAAUUUGUGCAAAAACAAUUAUACUUAUUAAAGACAAGAAGACCCUAAGAAUUUAAGAUUUUACAAUUAAAAAGUUUUUUUUUUUAAAAUCUUGAUUGGGGCGAUCAAAAAAUAUUAAUAACUUUUUAAAAUUUAAAUUGAUCUAUUAUUAAUAAACUAAUGAAUUAAAUACUCUAGGGAUAACAGCGUAAUAAUUUUUGAUAGAUCUUAUUGACAAAAUAGUUUGCGACCUCGAUGUUGGAUUAGGAUUCUUUUUUAAUGAAGAAGUAAAAAAAGAAGUUUGUUCAACUUUUAAAUUCCU